GAAGCAGACAGGAGCCCAAGAAGGACAGGAAGCGGAUUUCAGGAGGGAGGGGGUGGAAGAGGGUGAGCAGCAGCUCUCUCCUGGGAAGGGCGCCUUUCAGGGGCAGGAGCCCUCCCCAGCCUUGGGAGGUGGGCAGAGCCAGCGCUGGCUUCCCCACACCCUAUCCCGGGCUGAGGCUCUCCUCCACAUUUCCCCCAGACCCAGCCUGGGAUGGAGAGCGACCCCUACGAAGCAGAGGACUUUGUGUGUGACUACCACCUGGAGAUGCUGAGCCUGUCCCAGGACCAGCAGAACCCCUCCUGCAUCCAGUUUGAUGACUCCAACUGGCAGCUGCACCUCACCUCCCUCAAACCCCUGGGCCUCAAUGUGCUGCUGAACCUGUGUGAUGCCAGCGUCACCGAGCGCCUGUGCCGAUUCUCCGACCACCUGUGCAACAUCGCCCUGCAAGAGAGCCACAGCGCCGUGCUGCCCGUCCAUGUGCCCUGGGGCCUCUGCGAGCUUGCCCGCCUCAUUGGCUUCACUCCUGGGGCCAAGGAGCUUUUCAAGCAGGAGAACCAUCUGGCGCUGUA
rnacentral:sRNA from 1 species